rnacentral:lncRNA from 1 species
CUCCUAGUACAAUUUUGUGAUCCAUAAUUUUAUUAAUCAAGUUAUGGUCACGAUCACACAAUUUAUGAUCACAAUAAUAUACUUUCACAAAUUACAUAAAGUCACGAUUACAAAGACAACUAUAGGAUUUAGUCAAAUCAUGCAUUUUUAUAAGCAACCACUCUCCAAAUUAAUUGGUCAGAAUUAUCUAAUUAAUUGAUCACAAACACUCUUCAUCCCACUCUACCCCCAUUCCACCACAGUCAACUCCAUCGAGACUGUCGUCGCCACCUCAAAUCGAUACACUUCCACCUCCAUCACUCCACCACCUAGACCUAAUCCACAACCGACACCAUCUCAACUCCACCACACAAUUGCCACCAUCACACAACCACCAUCUCCAACACCUGCACCUCAUCUACGACCAUCGACUACCAUCAAUACCACACAAAUGACGUCACUAUCACCACUCCAUACACCCACAUGUUCUCUUGCAAAAACCCAUAACGAUUUCACAGCAAUGACGCCCAAAUCUAUCAUGGAAAAUCCUAGAUAAGUUCAUGGAUGUAUGUUUUCAAGAACUUAUAGGCUUGAUUUAGCAAAGUUAAGGGUUGAUUCAUAAAGAUGACGAUGGAAAGCCAAAAAAAGAUGGUAGAAUUAAUCUAGCGUUGGUGGUGUCAAACUCUCUAUGUUUUACAAUUGGUCUUCCUCGAGAAUCUUAGAGGGAGAAAGAACAGAAGUGGCUAGUGAAUAGACAAAUGUUAUCGAAUGGAGACAAGAAACUCAGAAAGAAUAUGCAGUUGGCAAUAACUAUUAUAGAGGAGGAGGGGAGUCAAUGUUCGGUAAGGUACUUGUAGCAAGUGUGGUGGUGGAGAGCAAAUACAUUAGAAGCAGUGAUUUGUGGCGACAACGGUAGUGGAUGUCUUUGUAGAUGAUGGUGGUGGU